AGUGAACGCUGGCGGUAGGCCUAACACAUGCAAGUCGAACGGCAGCACAGUAAGAGCUUGCUCUUACGGGUGGCGAGUGGCGGACGGGUGAGGAAUACAUCGGAAUCUACUUUUUCGUGGGGAUAACGUAGGGAAACUUACGCUAAUACCGCAUACGACCUACGGGUGAAAGCAGGGGAUCUUCGGACCUUGCGCGAUUGAAUGAGCCGAUGUCGGAUUAGCUAGUUGGCGGGGUAAAGGCCCACCAAGGCGACGAUCCGUAGCUGGUCUGAGAGGAUGAUCAGCCACAUUGGACCUGAGACACGGUCCAGACGCCUACGGGGGGCAGCAGUGGGAAAUAUUGGACAAUGGGCGCAAGCCUGAUCCAGCCAUACCGCGUGGGUGAAGAAGGCCUUCGGGUUGUAAGCCCUUUUGUUGGGAAAGAAAAGCAGCAGGUUAAUACCCCGCUGUUCUGACGGUACCCAAAGAAUAAGCACCGGCUAACUUCGUG
rnacentral:rRNA from 1 species